AACGAACGUUAGCGGCGCGCCUAACACAUGCAAGUCGAGCGAGAAAGGGGCAACCCCGGUAAAGCGGCGCACGGGUGAGUAACACGUAGGUAAUCUACCCUCGGGUGGAGGAUAACUUUCCGAAAGGAAGGCUAAUACUGCAUGAGACCACGGUUCCGAAAGGAGCAGGGGUCAAAGCCGGCCACUGUACACAAGCUGGCGCCUGAGGAUGAGCCUGCGGCCCAUCAGCUAGUUGGUAGGGUAAUGGCCUACCAAGGCGAAGACGGGUAGCUGGUCUGAGAGGAUGAUCAGCCACACUGGAACUGAGACACGGUCCAGACUCCUACGGGAGGCAGCAGUGGGGAAUCUUGCGCAAUGGGCGAAAGCCUGACGCAGCGACGCCGCGUGAGUGAUGAAGGCCUACGGGUUGUAAAGCUCUGUGGAGAGGGACGAAUAAGUCGUGGCUAACAUCCACGGUGAUGACGGUACCUCUUUAGCAAGCACCGGCUAACUCUGUGCCAGCCGCCGCAGUAAAAC
rnacentral:rRNA from 1 species